rnacentral:lncRNA from 1 species
AGGGAACACAAGCAGGGAGAAGCAGGCUUCCCGCUGAGCAGGAGCCCAAUGUGGGGCUCGAUCCCAGGACCCUGGGACCAUGACCUGAGACAAAGGAAGAUGCUUAUCUGACUCAGCCACCUAGAUGCCCCCAUUAUUAUACAUUUUUUAAUACAUUUUUUUGCUUGUUAAUUCAUCAAGUUGUUUGGCAUCACACAUGCUCUUUUUUCACUAACAUUUCUUCCUUAUCAAGAGAGUUAUGAGUUUUUCAUAUACCAGGAUGCAUAUUUGUAAUAGAGCUUUGUAUUGUGUUGUGAAAGCCUUCCACCCUGUUGUUUGUUCCUGACGUGUUGUCACAUUGGAAUGUGGAUAGACAUCCCAAAGUUUUAUGGGAAAUGUGGGUUCCAAACUCCAAGCCACUAUAUAGACCAUCAUGAGGGCGAAGAUUAAUAUACUAUCAAAAUGGGAGUAUUGCAUCAGUGGAGAAAUGUCACAACACUGUCAACCAGUUGAUGAAACCAACAAAUUACUAACCAAACUGCCAACCAUUUAUUUUUUAAUCUUUUACAACAAAAUUGCCUUAUAGCCAAUUGUAUGCUGAAAAUCCUUCCUGCAAAGAUGCCUGUGGCAAAGAUGUUUAUAGUAAAGACACUGGGCACCGGCAAUGCCAUCCGAAGGAGAUGAAUAUGGCCUGAAACACGGACUUCAGUUGCUGGGCAAUAUCACUCUUCUGGGAUACGGAUAUACUACCCAACUCUGGCUGACAGAAGUUGGAGGAAAGCAUGCUACAAAGCAUUCAAGGAAAGAAUUUCUCCAUGGAUUAAAAAAGGAGAGGGAGAGAGAGACUGAGGAAGAAGAAAGAGUUAGGAAUCCCCUGUCUCCUUUCCUGCUAUUGAUGUUCUGUGAGGAAAAGAUGCUUGGAUUUGCCGAAGCCAUCUUGCAACCAGGACGUUGAAGACAGGAGUCGCAGAGAAGCUGAACCACAGAAGCCACUGAACCAAUUUGGAUAUAUCCGAUGACCAGACUUCUUGUUGUGUGAUCAAAUAAAAUCCUAUUGUUGUAGUCAAGUAUGUCCAGACUGUUGCUUGAGGCCAAAGCAAGUGACUGAGUCAGCUAAAAAUCAUGCACUGAUGUGGCAGGCCCUUGCGGAGUACGUACUGGGUGCCAAGCAUGACACGAAGCCCCUUUCCUGUCUCUUCCGAUGAAUUACCUAUGAAUACAUGCAAUAGAAAUGACCAAAGGCCAAGAAUGAGCCAAAGAAUGACAGUUUUAUCUCGGAGAUGGAAAAGAAUCCAUAAAGAACUUUUUUUUUCUUUUACAUCAAAGAAUUUAUGAUUUGGGGAGUGUUUUUGUUGAAGGCAGGUAUGAAAAGGGGACUGGAGUAAUAAAGAGGAAUAACAUAAAUGUGCAUUUUAGGACUACUCCUUUAUAACUAUAGUCAAGAGAUAAAUACAUUUUGUAUCUUCAGAACCCGGAAAUCUUAGAGAUUAGCUUUUUUUUAGCCAAGAAAAAGAUCAUUUUCUGGCUUUAUGAUUAUGAAUGCUUCAGUCUGCAUGCCGCAUAAAUAUCUAUAUACACACAUACAUAUUAUAUGGGUCUGCAAUGUUUUCUCUCCUCUGCAAGGAGAAAAAGAAGAUGUGAAAUUCUGUGAAUACAAGACAAUCACUAAGUUUGAACGAACAAUGCUUAUUUUCUCCAGGAAUACUAUUCUCUCAGUUUUACCAAAAGUUUGCACUCGUCUGGAGAAAGAAGCAUUCACAUUGAGACAGGAUGGUUUAAAGCCAUUAACUUUAGAUUAUGGCCUUUGAAGGGGGAGAACCUAAUGAAUAGAAAUUACUUCAUUCAACGGCUGUCAUGAAUUUAAUAAGUAGAAAACUGUCUGAUAGCUGCUUCCCUUGCAAGUGCUGCCUUGUGUCUAUUUUAGUGGACACAUAGAAAUAAUCUUAAAGCAUAGAUCAGUAUCCAAAAAUGAAUUCUCUAUAUUUAUAAACUUUUUAAAAAAGAUUUUAUUUAUUUAUUUGAGAGAGAGAGAGUGAGAGAGCACGAGAGGGGAGAAGGUCAGAGGGAGAAGCAGACUCCCCAUGGAGCAGGGAGCCUGAUGCAGGACUCGAUCCCAGGACUCUGGGAUCAUGACCUGAGCUGGAGGCAGUUGCUUAACCAACUGAGCCACCCAGGAGCCCUAUAUUUAUAAAUUUCUUAAAGCAAAAAAGAAUUUUAAAGCUAAAUUCCACGAGAAUUUUUUGAAUCAUUUUAUUCUAACGCAUACUCCAUAUCCAGUUUUACUGGUUACCACUCAGCAAAAAUUCCACUUUUGCAAUGUC